CAUGUGCUACGUCGCAACACUAAGCCUUUCCAUGUAGGCAGGUUGAUGGAUUUAAUCCGUCACUACUGCACCCACCAUGAUGGAACAACACUACUCACAGGGACCGGCACGAAUAGCAAGCGCGAGCGCGGCGAAGCGCGCCAUUCUUCCUAGUGUCUAAUACUGUGUGUUUAAUACUAUAGUUGAGUGCAAAUCUUUGAACUGAUAUACUUGUUAGAUUUAUAAAAAAAUAUUCCCCUACUAGUUGAGUGCUAAAACAUCGUUGAUUCGGUGUGGAUUUGUGAUCUGCCGAAAAUGCGAAGCGACAAUUGUGGUGGAAGCACACGCAUGCCAAGCCCACUGGUGAGAAACCUUUCCACCAGCUAUAGUUCCCCAUGUUCUUCACGGGUUGUUUUUUGAAAGAUUCUUCUUCACGGGUUGUGGGCUUUUCUUUCUCUGUUCUGUUCUCUGUGUGACCAAUGGGGUGUUUGGAUGGCUACCUCACUUUGCCACUCACAAUUUAGAGUAUCUCCAAGAACUUCAACAAAUUACAUGCCAGUCACAACUUAGAGUAUCUCCAAGAACUUCAACAAAUUACAUUAAUCAAAUUCUAUUUAGCUAGCCAUUUAGUUAUCAAAAGAGUGUGAAAUCCAACAGCUUCUCUAUCCACCCCUCCUCCACGCACCUCCGAUCCGGCCGUGCGUUGGACGCCGCCGGCCGCCGCAAGCUCCCCGCGCAGGACGCAUGUGCGUGAGGGCCCUGCAGGAGUCGUCGUGCACUAGAUGCUGCCGGCCGCCGCGACUUCUCUGCGCCGCUUCCUCCUCGCCUCGCCUCGCCUCUCUGCGAUCCGCACCGCCUGCCUCGCUGCUGUCGACGCCGCCGUCCGCCACACUAGCUCCGAGGGACCGCGGCACCUGCGCGGGAGGCGGGCAAGGAUAUGGCGAGCUUGCGGCCGGCACCUGCUGCGGCCCGCCGGCGGGCGCAAGCUCCGCCGCCACGGGUGAGCUUUGCCAGCGCGGGUGCAAGCGCCGCAGCUCCACGGCCGGAUGGGCAGAUCUCGAAUCCGCCUCGCCGCACAGAGCUCUGGCCCGGCCACGCUGGGCCGCCACGCUCCGGCCCCGCCGUGCUGCCAGGAGCUCAAGACUGUUGCACCGCCGCAGAUCUCGCCAUGCCACACCGGACCACGGUGCCGCCGCAAAGCUUGGGGUGAGGGGCGGACCCCGAACGGAGCUGGGUGUGCAUUUUUGCCUUCCGGGAGACCGGGAAUGGUUAAUGGAAUAGCUACUGGGAAUGUUUGCAUAAGCUGUUGGAUCCAGUUUUUGUGCGUCGCCGCCACACUUCCGUGGCAGGGUAUGGCCGGCAUCCAAACACGCCCGUACGUCUGUUCCAACUCUGCAUCUGCAAGCAGGUCUCUUUUGCCAGGUUAUCACAGAGCACAUGACCUUGUGUCCUCGUAUUAGUACGGUGAAGAAAGUAUGCUGCAGUAGACAGUAGUGAUGCUAGUUUACAAUAAGUGCUCUAGUACUCUCUUCAUUCUAAAUUAUAGUUUGUUUGAUGUUUUUUGUUUUACUUCAACUUUGAUCACUCCUCUUAAAUGUUGAUCCGGUGGUCUAAAUUGAAGUUUGCAUAAUUUCCACGGAUAGAUUGGUUUGCACCUGAUAUGUUUCCAUUAAAAAAUCUGUGGUAGAUAAAAAAUCCUUCAAUACCUAUACAAAUCCAAUCUCUACUCAUUCGAUUGAAUGGACGCCAAAACAACUGUUAGAAGGAUGCGUACCAGUCUGGGUAUGUUAGAAAAGAUUUGAUUAGUUUAAAAAGGUGAAAAUAUUUUGUUCCCUCUGUUCACUCUGAAACUUACCAGGUUCUAAGUCAAUAUAUCUUCUCUGCCUCUUCAAUCCUGGUAAAAGUGGUAAUGGUUGUUUGAAUAACUGUUCAAAACAACCUAACA